rnacentral:rRNA from 1 species
GAUAAACGCUGGCGGCGUGCCUAACACAUGCAAGUCGAACGUCCUUUUCUUGCUUCGGUAAGGAGAGGGAGUGGCGGACGGGUGAGUAAGACAUGGGUGACCUGCCCUAAAGUGAGGGAUACCGGCGAGAAAUUGCCGACAAGCCCGCAUGCGUUCUGUUUGGUAGAGCGAACAGAGCAAAGGUUUCCGUAAGGGAGCUGCUUUGGGAUGGGCCUGUGGCCGAUUAGCUGGUUGGUGGGGUAAGAGCCUACCAAGGCGACGAUCGGUAGC